GCAUAUCAAUAAGCGGAGGAAAAGAAACUAACAAGGAUUCCCCUAGUAACUGCGAGUGAAGCGGGAAAAGCUCAAAUUUAAAAUCUGGCGGUCUUUGGCUGUCCGAGUUGUAGUCUGGAGAAGCGUCUUCCGCGUUGGACCGUGUACAAGUCUCUUGGAACAGAGCGUCAUAGAGGGUGAGAAUCCCGUCUCUGACACGGACUACCAGUGCUUUGUGAUGCGCUCUCAAAGAGUCGAGUUGUUUGGGAAUGCAGCUCAAAAUGGGUGGUAAAUUCCAUCUAAAGCUAAAUAUUGGCGAGAGACCGAUAGCGAACAAGUACCGUGAGGGAAAGAUGAAAAGCACUUUGGAAAGAGAGUUAAACAGUACGUGAAAUUGCUGAAAGGGAAACGCUUGAAGUCAGUCGCGUUUGCUAGUAUUCAGCCUGCCUUUUUUGAUGGGUGCAUUUACUAGUUGACGGGCCAGCAUCAGUUUUGGCUGCAGGAUAAAGAUCAGAGGAAUGUGGCACCUUCGGGUGUGUUAUAGCCUCGGGUCAUAUACUGUGGCUAGGACUGAGGAUCUCAGCACGCCUUUAUGGCGGGGGUUCGCCCACCUUCGUGCUUAGGAUGCUGGCGUAAUGGCUUUAAACGACCCGUCUUGAAACACGGACCAAGGAGUCUAACAUGCCUGCGAGUGUUUGGGUGUUAAAACCCGAGUGCGUAAUGAAAGUGAAAGUUGGGACCUUUGUCAUGAAGGGCACCGACGCCCGGACCAGACCUACUGUGACGGAUCCGCGGUAGAGCAUGUAUGUUGGGACCCGAAAGAUGGUGAACUAUGCCUGAAUAGGGUGAAGCCAGAGGAAACUCUGGUGGAGGCUCGUAGCGAUUCUGACGUGCAAAUCGAUCGUCAAAUUUGGGUAUAGGGGCGAAAGACUAAUCGAACCAUCUAGUAGCU
rnacentral:rRNA from 1 species